UAGGUCAUAAUAUCUGGAAUGAUUUAUGGUUUAAAUCUAUAUGGCCUCUGGAUUGGACUGCGGCCGAUCAGGCUGUUGGUGAGGUAAUGGCCCACCAAACCUAAAACCGGUACGGGCUCUGAGAGGAGAAGCCCGGAGAUGGGCACUGAGACAAGGGCCCAGGCCCUAUGGGGCGCAGCAGGCGCGAAAACUCUGCAAUAAGCGAAAGCUUGACAGGGUUAUUCUGAGUGAUUUCCGCUAAGGAAAUCUUUUGGCACCUCUAAAAAUGGUGCAGAAUAAGGGGUGGGCAAGCCUGGUGUCAGCCGCCGCGGUAAUACCAGCACCCCGAGUGGUCGGGACGAUUAUUGGGCCUAAAGCAUCCGUAGCCGGUUCUACAAGUCUUCCGUUAAAUCCACCUGCUUAACAGAUGGGCUGCGGAGGAUACUAUGGAGCUAGGAGGCGGGAGAGGCAAGCGGUACUUAGUGGGUAGGGGUAAAAUCCGUUGAUCCAUUGAAGACCACCAGUGGCGAAGGCGGCUUGCCAGAACGCACUCGACGGUGAGGGAUGAAAGCUGGGGGAGCAAACCGGAUUAGAUACCCGGGUAGUCCCAGCUGUAAACGAUGCAGACUCGGUGAUGAGUUGGCUUAUUGCUAACUCAGUGCCGCA
rnacentral:rRNA from 1 species